rnacentral:tRNA from 1 species
UAAGCAGAAGCUAUAUUUAGCAUCUAACUGUUAAUUAGAAGAUAGUCUUACGACCUGUUUAG